rnacentral:rRNA from 1 species
GACGAACGCUGGCGGCGUGCCUAAUACAUGCAAGUUGAGCGCUGAAGGUUGGUACUUGUACCAACUGGAUGAGCAGCGAACGGGUGAGUAACGCGUGGGGAAUCUGCCUUUGAGCGGGGGACAACAUUUGGAAACGAAUGCUAAUACCGCAUAAAAACUUUAAACACAAGUUUUAAGUUUGAAAGAUGCAAUUGCAUCACUCAAAGAUGAUCCCGCGUUGUAUUAGCUAGUUGGUGAGGUAAAGGCUCACCAAGGCGAUGAUACAUAGCCGACCUGAGAGGGUGAUCGGCCACAUUGGGACUGAGACACGGCCCAAACUCCUACGGGAGGCAGCAGUAGGGAAUCUUCGGCAAUGGACGAAAGUCUGACCGAGCAACGCCGCGUGAGUGAAGAAGGUCUUCGGAUCGUAAAACUCUGUUGGUAGAGAAGAACGUUGGUGAGAGUGGAAAGCUCAUCAAGUGACGGUAACUACACAGAAAGGGACGGCUAACUACGUG